AAGUCGAGCGGUAACAGAGAGUAGCUUGCUACUUUGCUGACGAGCGGCGGACGGGUGAGUAAUGCUUGGGAACAUGCCUUAAGGUGGGGGACAACAGUUGGAAACGACUGCUAAUACCGCAUAAUGUCUACGGACCAAAGGGGGCUUCGGCUCUCGCCUUUAGAUUGGCCCAAGUGGGAUUAGCUAGUUGGUGAGGUAAUGGCUCACCAAGGCGACGAUCCCUAGCUGGUUUGAGAGGAUGAUCAGCCACACUGGGACUGAGACACGGCCCAGACUCCUACGGGAGGCAGCAGUGGGGAAUAUUGCACAAUGGGCGCAAGCCUGAUGCAGCCAUGCCGCGUGUGUGAAGAAGGCCUUCGGGUUGUAAAGCACUUUCAGUCAGGAGGAAAGGUUAACGGUUAAUACCCGUUAGCUGUGACGUUACUGACAGAAGAAGCACCGGCUAACUCCGUGCCAGCAGCCGCGGUAA
rnacentral:rRNA from 1 species